rnacentral:rRNA from 1 species
AUUGAACGCUGGCGGCAUGCUUUACACAUGCAAGUCGAACGGCAGCACGGGGGCAACCCUGGUGGCGAGUGGCGAACGGGUGAGUAACACAUCGGAACGUGUCCAGUUGUGGGGGAUAACCCAUCGAAAGGUGGGCGUAAUACCGCAUGAGCUGGCAACAGGAAAGCGGGGGACCCGGCAAGGCCUUGUGCGAUUGGAGCGGCCGAUGUCCGAUUAGCUAGUUGGUGGGGUAAAGGCCUACCAAGGCUUCGAUCGGUAGCUGGUCUGAGAGGAUGAUCAGCCACACUGGGACU